GGGCGCCUCUCCAUUGGCAGG
rnacentral:miRNA from 1 species